GCUAGCUACAGGCUUAACACAUGCAAGUCGAGGGCAGCAUGGUGGUUGCUUGCAACCGCUGAUGGCGACCGGCGCACGGGUGAGUAACGCGUAUCCAACCUACCCACGACCCAGGCACAGCCCGGCGAAAGUCGGAUUAAUGCGUGAUGGUCUCCUUAGAGGACAUCUGACGAGGAGUAAAGGAUUCGUCCGGUAGUGGAUGGGGAUGCGUCUGAUUAGCCAGCCGGCGGGGUAACGGCCCACCGGGGCGACGAUCAGUAGGGGUUCUGAGAGGAAGGUCCCCCACAUUGGAACUGAGACACGGUCCAAACUCCUACGGGAGGCAGCAGUGAGGAAUAUUGGUCAAUGGUCGGAAGACUGAACCAGCCAAGUAGCGUGCAGGAGUACGGCCCUAUGGGUUGUAAACUGCUUUUGUGUGGGGAUAAAAGACGUGACGUGUCAUGUUUUGUAGGUACCACACGAAUAAGGACCGGCUAAUUCCGUGCCAGCAGCCGCGGUAAUACGGAAGGUCCUGGUGUUAUCCGGAUUUAUUGGGUUUAAAGGGAGCGCAGGCUGCCGGUUAAGCGUGUUGUGAAAUGCGGGUGCUCAACAUUCGUACUGCAGCGCGAACUGUCUGGCUUGAGUGCGCUGGAAGUGGGCGGAAUUCCUGGUGUAGCGGUGAAAUGCGUAGAUAUCAGGAGGAACACCGGCGGCGAAGGCGGCUUACUGGACUGCAACUGACGUUGAGGCUCGAAAGCGUGUGGAGCAAACAGGAUUAGAUACCCUGGUAGUCCACGCUGUAAACGAUGAAUACCAGGUGCAGGGGAGCAGAGGC
rnacentral:rRNA from 1 species